rnacentral:rRNA from 1 species
UACGAAGGGGGCUAGCGUUGUUCGGAAUCACUGGGCGUAAAGCGCACGUAGGCGGCUUUCUAAGUCGGGGGUGAAAUCCUGGAGCUCAACUCCAGAACUGCCUUUGAUACUGGAGAGCUUGAGUCCGGAAGAGGUGAGUGGAACUCCGAGUGUAGAGGUGAAAUUCGUAGAUAUUCGGAAGAACACCAGUGGCGAAGGCGGCUCACUGGUCCGGUACUGACGCUGAGGCGCGAAAGCGUGGGGAGCAAACAGG